UUGCUACUUUGCUGACGAGCGGCGGACGGGUGAGUAAUGCUUGGGAACAUGCCUUGAGGUGGGGGACAACAGUUGGAAACGACUGCUAAUACCGCAUAAUGUCUACGGACCAAAGGGGGCUUCGGCUCUCGCCUUUAGAUUGGCCCAAGUGGGAUUAGCUAGUUGGUGAGGUAAUGGCUCACCAAGGCGACGAUCCCUAGCUGGUUUGAGAGGAUGAUCAGCCACACUGGGACUGAGACACGGCCCAGACUCCUACGGGAGGCAGCAGUGGGGAAUAUUGCACAAUGGGCGCAAGCCUGAUGCAGCCAUGCCGCGUGUGUGAAGAAGGCCUUCGGGUUGUAAAGCACUUUCAGUCAGGAGGAAAGGUUAGUAGUUAAUACCUGCUAGCUGUGACGUUACUGACAGAAGAAGCACCGGCUAACUCCGUGCCAGCAGCCGCGGUAAUACGGAGGGUGCGAGCGUUAAUCGGAAUUACUGGGCGUAAAGCGUACGCAGGCGGUUUGUUAAGCGAGAUGUGAAAGCCCCGGGCUCAACCUGGGAACUGCAUUUCGAACUGGCAAACUAGAGUGUGAUAGAGGGUGGUAGAAUUUCAGGUGUAGCGGUGAAAUGCGUAGAGAUCUGAAGGAAUACCGAUGGCGAAGGCAGCCACCUGGGUCAACACUGACGCUCAU
rnacentral:rRNA from 1 species